rnacentral:miRNA from 1 species
UUUAAAUCAUCCAGCUGUUGA